AAAAUGUUUAACAUCUCAUUAUAUUGUUUUAAACCUGCAGAGAACCCUUUUAUUUAUGUUUUACCUUAAUUUAUGUAACGACCUAAACCGUCGAUAUUUAGAAGAAACGAAAAUAUAGGAAAAAUCGGGGCCAUUGUCCCGCCAUAGCAGGUCAGAUGCUGCUAGGGCUGCAACGCCAGGGCGGGAUAAGUUGGUGCUAGGGUGGGAUAGGCGCGAAAGAACAUAUAUUACGAGAAAUCCUAUUUUCUCCAUCUUCCUAAAAUACCUAAAAGUUGUUAAACACCGUAGAAAUCUCAGAAAAGCUGCUCGAAGUUUUGAAAGGUAGGAGAAGGAGAUUUCAAGUGUGAGGAUGGUGAAAUCUUACAGAUUCUUGGCAAAUUUCACCCUCACAAAGCUAGGGAAAACGGAAUCGAUGUCAAAAACUCUGUGCAACUGAUUCGUGCCCAUUCUACAACAUACUCUCAUGUUAAUUAUGAAGAUUCUAGAUGUUAAAGGAAUAUUUAGAGUCAACUCGCAGUAAUAUUUACCCUUAUAUAUAAGUGAGCAAGAGAAGGACUAGUACUACAAUCAAUAACUAUAGAAAAAUCAGAGAGAUGCCAUACACCAACUUUGCCAACCGGGAAGAGCUUUAUCUAGCUUGUUCAUUUAGGACUAUCACUGUGGAUAUGGUAUUUGUACUUCAAUACUCCACUGUCUCUCAGUAAACAUGGGAGAGAUGGAUCAAGGUAGAAGGAUCAAGAGAACUAAUUAUGACGAGGCUGGACUCAAAGGGGUAAGUAGACUGUAGAAUUAGUUUGUUAUGCUACAUUUUCUAAUUAUCAUACAGUGUAGUUAAAUGGUACAAGAAAAAUUAUUUACCAGGUUUGACUUGAUCUAGCUAAGAAUUUUAAUAUAUAUAAAGAGACUAUGUAGUAAAAUUUGCAUGCAGGCACAAGAAACUAUUACUUUGUUUGUACAA